rnacentral:rRNA from 1 species
UACGUAGGCAGCAAGCGUUGUUCGGAAUUACUGGGCGUAAAGAGUGUGUAGGCGGUGUCGUAAGUUUGGCGUGAAAUCUCCCGGCUUAACUGGGAGGGUGCGCCGAAGACUGCGGUGCUUGAGGAUCGGAGAGGAAAGUGGAAUUUCUGGUGUAGCGGUGAAAUGCGUAGAUAUCAGAAGGAACACCUGUGGUGUAGACGGCUUUCUGGACGAUUCCUGACGCUGAGACACGAAAGCGUGGGUAGCAAACAGG